AUCUAUCUAUCUAUCUAUAGAUAGAUAGAUAGAUAGAUUGGGGGGGGGGCAAGGGAAUUAGCUAUCUCAUUGGCUCUGCUCGGGGUAUGGCUUCAGCAGGACCCUUAUUUUGGUAGAUGCAUAUUUGGUAGACGUCUGGGUGAUUCGCAGUUCCUUGCUCCCUGCCAUUUCCGUUCAGUCUUAGAACCGCGCGUGCAUUGUGGCGAGUUGGCGGCGGAGAUCGCGCCGGAGAUCGCAACAUUAGCCGGUGGCUGAAUGAUAUGUAUAUGUAAGUCGAGCCGCGGUACCUGUAAGUAAUCAUACAACGUCUGGUGUUUGUGCAAUCCAAUGGAGCCAGUGAGUCUUGGUGGGACAGGGGAAGCUAGCUGCAUUUAUUCGCUACGCUCAGUGUGCCAACACAACUUCCCUCUGGUGUAGGUAGUGUUUGAGUUUUGGUGUGACUUGAGGUGGGUUUGGAUGACCUCCUGAGCUGUAGCUGGCCUGCCUUGUUUCUGCCAAGCCUGGGCCUGUAGAAGUGCUGUUUUAAAAUCCUUAUUGUACUUCAUGGGAGAGUGACUUUAUAUUUAUGUUAAGUGUCAUAAUAAAAUGUCAUUUUUAUAUUUGUA